AACCCCGNGAUGGGAUGGAAACUGCUGAUCUAGAGUNUCGGAGAGGAAAGUGGAAUUCCUAGUGUAGCGGNGAAAUGCGUAGAUAUUAGGAAGAACNCCAGUGGCGAAGGCGACUUUCUGGGCGAAAACUGACGCUGAGGCGCGAAAGCCAGGGGAGCGAACGGGAUUAGAUACCCCGGUAGUCCUGGCCGUAAACGAUGGGUACUAGGUGUAGGAGGUAUCGACCCCUUCUGUGCCGGAGUUAACGCAAUAAGUACCCCGCCUGGGGAGUACGACCGCAAGGUUGAAACUCAAAGGAAUUGACGGGGGCCCGCACAAGCGGUGGAGUAUGUGGUUUAAUUCGACGCAACGCGAAGAACCUUACCAGGUCUUGACAUUGAUGGACAGAACCAGAGAUGGUUCCUCUUCUUCGGAAGCCAGAAAACAGGUGGUGCACGGUUGUCGUCAGCUCGUGUCGUGAGAUGUUGGGUUAAGUCNNNCAACGAGCGCAACCCCUAUCUUAUGUUGCCAGCACUUUGGGUGGGGACUCAUGAGAGACUGCCGCAGACAAUGCGGAGGAAGGCGGGGAUGACGUCAAAUCAUCAUGCCCCUUAUGACCUGGGCUACACACGUACUACAAUGGGAGUUAAUAGACGGAAGCGAGAUCGCGAGAUGGAGCAAACCCGAGAAACACUCUCUCAGUUCGGAUUGUAGGCCGC
rnacentral:rRNA from 1 species